rnacentral:rRNA from 1 species
UACAGAGGGGGCAAGCGUUGUUCGGAAUUACUGGGCGUAAAGGGCGCGUAGGCGGCCUGUUAAGUCGAACGUGAAAUCCCUGGGCUCAACCCAGGAACUGCGUCCGAUACUGGCAGGCUUGAAUCCGGGAGAGGGAUGUGGAAUUCCAGGUGUAGCGGUGAAAUGCGUAGAUAUCUGGAGGAACACCGGUGGCGAAGGCGGCAUCCUGGACCGGCAUUGACGCUGAGGCGCGAAAGCCAGGGGAGCAAACAGG